UUGCAUGUGGAAAUCCCUUCUCCUCGCUCCUUGGGGAGGAGGAAUCCAUCCGUUACAUGCUACAUUACCGGAGUUCUCAGGGCUGCCCGCCUUCCAGGAGAGGCUGAGCAGUAGUAUAUUGCUCCAACACAA